UGUUUUGAUCCUAGACAUAAUAUUGUCUAUAGCUAUACUUAUACAUGCUAGCCUCCACACACCAGUGAGCAGUGCCCCACCACGGAGCCGGUAUCAGGCACACCCUUUUCAACGGUAGCCCAAGACACCUAGCCUCGCCACCCCCCCACUGGGCCACAGCAGUAGUAAACACUAAGCAAUAAGCCAAUUUAACGCUUGACUUGGUAAUGGUUAUACCUUAAGUGCCGGUAGACCACGUGCCAGCCACCGCGGUUAUACGUGGGGCCCAAAACAAUAUACUUCGGCGUAAAACGUGACUAAUGAUUAAUUAAAAGCCGAGGACAUAAACCUAAGAAAAGUUGUAAAAUACGCAGUGCCUCCGACACCACCAUCUGCCCUCACUUACCAAUCACCGUGACCUCACGAAAACUGGGGCCCAAACUAGGAUUAGAUACCCUACUAUGCCCAAUCGUAAACUAUGAUACCUCAAACAUCCGCCAGAGAACUACAACCGACCAGUUUGAAACUCAAAAGACUUGACAGUAUCUCAAACAUACCUAGAGGAGCCUGUCCUAUAAUCGAUAACCCACGCUAAACCUCACCUGCCCUUGCACCAAUCAGCCUAUAUACCUCCGUCGCCAGUUCGCCUGCUAACAGCUACCAAAGCGCAUACACUAGCCCACCACUCACACGACAGGUCAAGGUGUAGCUAAUGGGCGGGACAGAGAUGGGCUACAUUUUCCUCAUUAGAAAACACCGAACGUGCCAUGAAAACCGCACAAAAAGGCGGAUUUAGCAGUAAGGGGAGCAAGAUGUGCCCCCCUGAAGAUUAUCAUGAGAUGUGU
rnacentral:ncRNA from 1 species